rnacentral:rRNA from 1 species
AACGAACGCUGGCGGCAUGCCUAACACAUGCAAGUCGAACGAGACCUUCGGGUCUAGUGGCGCACGGGUGCGUAGCGCGUGGGAACCUGCCCUUAGGUUCGGAAUAACUCCCCGAAAGGGGUGCUAAUACCGGAUAAUGUCUUCGGACCAAAGAUUUAUCGCCUUUGGAUGGGCCCGCGUUGGAUUAGCUAGUUGGUAGGGUAAAAGCCUACCAAGGCGACGAUCCAUAGCUGGUCUGAGAGGAUGAUCAGCCACACUGGGACUGAGACACGGCCCAGACUCCUACGGGAGGCAGCAGUGGGAAAUAGUGGACAAUGGGCGAAAGCCUGAUCCAGCAAUGCCGCGUGAGUGAUGAAGGCCUUAGGGUUGUAAAGCUCUUUUACCCGGGAUGAUAAUGACAGUACCGGGAGAAUAAGCUCCGGCUAACUCCGUG